UACGAAGGGGGCUAGCGUUGUUCGGAAUUACUGGGCGUAAAGCGCGCGCAGGCGGCUAUCCAAGUCAGUGAUGAAAGCCCGGAGCUCAACUCCGGAACUGCCAUUGAAACUGUUUAGCUUGAGGACGAGAGAGGUGAGUGGAAUUCCCAGUGUAGAGGUGAAAUUCGUAGAUAUUGGGAAGAACACCGGUGGCGAAGGCGGCUCACUGGCUCGUAUCUGACGCUCAGGCGCGACAGCGUGGGGGAUCAAACAGG
rnacentral:rRNA from 1 species